GACGUUAUAAUCGGACGAGUCAUUAGUUUUUUGUCUGUCCAAUGUAACCAAUUAUUGCAUAUUUAAUAAAAAAAAUUCAUUAUUAUUUCUUAUGUAUUAAAUAAUAAAUAUUAAAUGUUAAAAAUAAAAAAAUGUUAAAAAAAUAUUUCUUAGUUCUUAUGUAUUAAAUAAUAAAUAUUUCUUAGUUCUUAUGUAUUAAAUAAAAA
rnacentral:lncRNA from 1 species